GCAGCUUUGGUGGGCUCCGGCUUCCUUCACUCCAGCCCACCGCGUCCGAGAGACUUAGCAGGGCGUCAAACUGGAGAGCGGAAGGAUGGAACCUUUUAUUCUCAGGGUGAUCCCUUGGGGACUACGCUCCUUGAAACAAGGAGGACAGUGUAAGUAUGUGGUAAACAUUUGGUAAAUACGGUUAAUACUAGUUAACCUAUCCAGAAUUACAGUUUAACAUUUCCUGGGCGUCUGUCUGUAUGUGGAUGGUACUGUGUUAGUUGGGGGGGGUACGUGUAUAGUAAGGCAGUCUCUGCCCUUAGAAAGCUUACAGGCCUGGCUGGGCGCGGUGACUCACGCCUGUAAUGCCAGCACUCUGGGAGGCGUAGGCGGGCGAAUCACUUGAGGUCAGGAGUUCGAAACCAGCCUGGCCAACAUGGUGAAACCCUGUCUCUACUAGAAAUACAAAACAAGGCUGGGCACGGUGGCCCACGCAUGUAAUCCCAGCACCUUGGGAGGCCGAUGAGGGUGGAUCAUGAUGUCAGGCGAUAGAAACCAUCCUGGUCAACAUGGAGAAACCCCGUCUCUACUAAAAAUACAAAAAUUAGCCAGGCGUGGUGGCGUGCACCUGUAGUCCCAGCUACUCAGGAGCCUGAGGCAGGAGAAUCGCUUUUACCUGGGAGGCGGAGGUUGCAGUGAACCGAGAUCGCAUCUCGCCACUGAACUCCAGCCUGGGUGACAGUGAGAGUCCGUCUCAAAAAAAAAAAAAAAAAAAGAGUGGCAGAUAAGAAGUGCUCUUUAUGGAGAUAAUUUGGUGGUAAUGAAUAAAAAGACUCAGAAUUCCAAGCAGAAAACUACCAGAGAUGAACAGUCUAGCCGAGUCCUCUGCAAACGUUAGGUGGGAGAUAAUUAGGAUUUAACCUAGAAACGUAGUAGUUAAGAAUAGAAAAUAGUGAACCUAACCAAGAGAGUCUGUGACAAUGGAAUCCACUAGACUAGCAGCUGACUGAAUAGAGAAUGAGAAGACUGUGUGCCUCAAGGUGAUUAUUUAUAGAAACAAUAAAUUCAAGAAGAGGAGUCAAUUUGGGAAUGGAGCUGAAAAGCAGAGAGAAAAUAAGGCAUUCAGUUUUGAAAACAUGGACUUUUUUUUUUUUUUUUUUUUUUUUUUGAGACGGAGUCUCGCUCUGUCACCCAGGCUGUAGUGCAGUAGCACAAUCUCAGUUCCCUACAACCUCUGCCUCGCGGGUUAAAGUGAUUCUCCUGCCUCAGCCUCCCGACUACAGGUGUGCGCCACCAUGCCCGGCUGAUUUUUGUAUUUUUAGUAGAGACAGGGUUUCGCCAUGUUGGCCAGGCUGGUCUCAAACUCCUGAACUCAGGUGACCUGCCUGCCUCGGCCUCCCAAAUGCUGGGAUUACGGGCGUGAACCACCGUGCCCGGCCUGAAAACAUGGACUUUAUUAAAAGCGAAUGAACCAUUUGGUGGAGACAUCCAGGCAAUGAAGACUUAGGAUAAAUGACCUCUAAGAUCUCCAUAUCUGAAAUUUAAGGGUUCUAGGAAAUGUAAGUGUGGGAGUUUGGGAGAAAAGUAGACGCUGAAGAUGUACAAAUUUUGGACUUUUUCACAUAAAUGUAAGUAAAGUUGUGGAAGUUGAUGGGAUCACAAAGGAGAAUGUAGGAAAAAAAGAGGUUCCAGUCAGGUGCGGUGGCUUACACCUGUAAUCCCAACACUUUGAAUGGUCAAGGUGAGAGGAUCGCCUGAAGCCAGGAGUUUGAGGUUACAGUGAGCUAUGAUCAUGCCAUUGCACUCCAGCCUAGGCAACAGAGUGAACCCGUCUCUUAAAAAAAAAAAAAAAAAAAAAACUCCCAAGACAGAAACGUGGGGAAAAGUUGGCAAAAGACAUACAAAUGAUCAGAGUGGUAGGGAGAGAAUUAGAAGAGAGAAGAGCCAUGGAAAGCAAAUGAAGAAAGGGAGGGCAGGUUGUCAAUGUUAAAUGUGAUACAGAAAUUAAAGAUGGAGGUGAUAGAGGUCAAUCGCAAGACGUUAAGGAGCGAGGAGGUGGUACCAAUAUUGAACAGUGGUAGCAAUAUUUAACAGUAAAGCAAGGAAAGGGCAGAGCUGUAGCAGCAGAUUUUCUUUUGGGGAAUAGGCAAGACUCAAGCAUGUUUUUAGAAAAGGCGAAUGAGGCUGGAUGUGGUGGCUCACGCCUGUAACCCCAGCACUUUGGGAUUCAUCUAAAAGAUGAAUAAUUCUUUUGGGAAAUACUUUCUGAUCAAGCUAUUUCUAAUUCCAAGCUCUGCUUAAGAAUAAUGUGUAAAAACUAUGAUUGCUAAAGGAACGAUUGAUUUAAAUUAUACAUUUGUCCUUUUUUUUGAGACUGAGUUUAAUUCUUGUUGCCCAGGCUGGAGUGCAAUGAUGUGAUAUCUCGGCUCACUGCAACCUCCCCCUCCCAGGUUCAAGUGAUUCUCCUGCCUCAGCUGUGGGGAAAAGAAAGAGAGAUCAGACUGUUACUGUGUCUGUGUAGAAAGAAGUAGAUAUAAGAGACUCCAUUUUGUUCAUCUUGUGAGUCGAUGGCGCACGAUUGCGGUGUUUCUGUCUCCGUGGAGGUGCUUUUCUUUGCAUCUCCGAUGGGUUCAUUGUAGAACUUCAAAUGUCUAGUGGGUAUCCAAACAGGAAGCUGAUUUUCUCCUGGUGAAACACAAGCAAAACCUCUCCCCCAUGUUACCACCUUCCCUAUUUCCCAUGUCUUAUUUUUAUUAUCUUUCUACCAAAUCAGUUUUCCUUCAUGUGGGCUGUUCUUUUUACCAGUAAGAUGUUGUUCUGCAGAAGUAGUAGUCUGAUUUCUAUAAAUGUUUAAAAAAUAUAAAGUGCUAGAUUAAGUUGCAUCUGAGGCGUGGUACAUUCCUUACUGUCUCCCCCUUCUUUUUAUUUAACUAAUUGAGUUUUGAGUGUUCUAUUAGUUCUUUCAACUAUGGCCUGUCCUUGGGAAUUAUAAGGAAUUCCUGUUGUAUGUGAAAUUUUCCACUGACUUAAGAAUUUUUGGAAAGCUUUACUACAGUAUCCUGCCCCAUUGUCAGUUUUAAUUUUUUCUGGAACUCUCAUUACAGCAAAACAAGGUAAUAAAUGUUUUUUAACAUGGGAAGUACUUUCUCCUGUCUGGCAGGUUGCCCAUAUGAAAUGUGAAUAAGUAUCAACUGUUACAUGAACAUAUAAUAAUCUUCCAAAUGAAGGUACAUGCGUGACAUCCAUUUGCCGUAAUGCAUUAGGACACAGACCCCUGGGAUUAACUCCUGCCUCUUGAGUGGGCAGGUGUAGGACUUGACACUGGGUGCAAUGUCGUACAAUAUCUUUUGCCUGUUUCCAUGUGACAUCAAAUUUGUUUUUUAAUCCUGCUGCAUUUACAUGAGUCAAAGCAUGAAAUUUUUGUGCUUUUAUGAAUGCAGAUGAUACCAGUAAGUCAGCUGGUUCAUUUGCUUUAGUCAAAGGCCCUGGUAAAUUAGUGUGUGCUCGAAUAUGAGUAAUAUAAAAUGGGAAAUUUCUUUUUCUUACAGUUUGUUGUAAUAAAUUGAAUAGCUGGUUUAACUGAUCAUCCAUGCUAUAUUUAAUUAGAGCUGUCUUUACAUCCCUUGUAGCCUGUACUACAUAUGCAGAAUCUGAUACAAUAUUGAUAGGUUGAUCAAAAUCUUGUAACACUGUAAUGACUGCAACCAACUCUGCCCUUCGAGCCAAUUGAUAUUGAGUUUUGAUUACUUGCUCUUUUGGCCCUGUGUAAGCCGCUUUUCCAUUGCUGGAACCAUCAGUAAACACUGUCAGAGCAUUUUCUAAAGGUUCACGUCUGGUAAUUUUAGGUAGAAUCCAAGUAGUUAAUUUUAAAAACUGGAAGAUUUUUGUUUUUGGGUAAUGAUGAUCAAUAAUUCCCACAAAAUUAGCAAGACCAAUCUGCCAUGCACCAGAAUUGAUAAAGGCUUGUCUAACUUGUUCCUUGGUUCAAGGGACAACUAUUUUGUCUGGGUCAUUUACACACAAUUUUAUUAUUUGUAAUCUUGCCUGACCAAUUAAUGUAGCUAUUUGAUCCAAGUACAAUGUAAAAGUCUUAAUUGUACUGUGAGGAAGGAAUGACCACUCCACAAGAUCAGUAUUUUGAACAGUGAUGCCUGUUGGAGAAUGUGCAGUAGCAAAAACCAAAAGUUGGAGUGGGGCUAAGGGAUCUAUUCUAUUUAUUUGCACUGACUGAAUUUUUUGUUCCACUAAUUUAAUUUCUUUUAUUGCCUCUGGGGUUAAUAUUCUCUUACUAUUUAAGUCUGAGUCUCCUCUUAAGAUAGAGAACCAAUUUUCGAAGCAUCAAAAGCCCAUUUAAAUUUGGUACCAGAAACUGAGGCAAUCGCAGGAGUGACUGAUGGCCUCGCAAAUCUUAACCCUGUCACUUGGGUUAAGACCAUCGGAAGUACUACUAUUAUAAAUUUCGUAUUAAUCCUUGUGUGCCUGUUUUAUCUGUUGUUAGUCUGCAGGUGUACCCAGCAGCUCCGAAGAGACAGCGACCAUCGAGAACAAGCCAUGAUGAUGAUGGUGGUUUGUCGAAAAGGAAAUGGGGAAAUGUGGGGAAAAGAGAGAUCAGACUGUUACUGUGUCUGUGUAGAAAGAAGUAGACAUAAGAGACUCCAUUUUGUUCUGUACUAAGAAAAAUUAUUCUGCCUUGAGAUGCUGUUAAUCUGUAACCCUACCCCCAACCCUGUGCUCCCUGAAACACGUGCUGUGUCAACUCAGGGUUAAAUGGAUUAAGGGCUGUGCAGGAUGUGCUUUGUUAAACAAAUGCUUGAAGGCAGCAUGCUUGUUAAGAGUCAUCAUCACUCCCUAAUCUCAAGUACCCAGAGACAAUACGCUGCGGAAGGCCGCAGGGACCUCUGCCUAGGAAAGCCAGGUAUUGUCCAAGGUUUCUCCCCAUGUGAUAGUCUGAAAUAUGCUGGCCGGGAAAGACCUGACCGUCCCCCAGCCCAACACCCGUAAAGGGUCUGUGCUGAGGAGGAUUAGUAAAAGAGGAAGGAAGGCCUCUUUGCAGUUGAGAUAAGAGGAAGGCAUCUGUCUCCUGCUCGUCCCUGGGCAAUGGGAUGUCUCGGUGUAAAACCCGAUUGUAUGUUCCAUCUACUGAGAUGGGGAAAACCGCCUUAGGGCUGGAUGUGGGACAUGCUGGCAGCAAUACUGCUCUUUAAGGCAUUGAGAUGUUUAUGUGUAUGCACAUCAAAAGCACAGCACUUUUUUCUUUACCUUGUUUAUGAUGCGGAGACGUUUGUUCACAUGUUUUCCUGCUGACCUUCUCUCCACUAUUACCCUAUUGUCCUGCCACAUCCCCCUCUCCGAGAAACGCCCAAUAAUGAUCAAUAAAUACUGAGGGAACUCAGAGACUGGUGCCGGUGCGGGUCCACUGUAUGCUGAGCGCCACUUCCCUAAGCCCACUUUUCUUUCUCUAUACUUUGUCUCUGUGUCUCCUUCUUUUCUUAAGUCUCUCAUUCCACCUGACAAGAAAUGCCCACAAGUGUGGAGGGGCAGGCCACCCCUUCACUCAGCCUCCUGAGUAGCUGGGAUUGCAGGUGCGCGCCACCAUGUCUGGCUAAUUUUUGUGUUUUUAGUAGAGGCGGGGUUUCACCCUGUUGGCCAGGUUGGUCUUGAACUCCUGACCUCAGGUGAUCCACCCAUCUGGGCCUCCCAAAGUUCUGAGAUUACAGGCAUGAGUCACCGUGCCCAGCCCAUUUAUCCUUGAUAUAGCUAAAUUACUGAGCAUUAGGAAGGGUGGAACUUUCAGCCUGUAAAAUAUGAGUGAGGUUUCACAAAAACUAGCACAAUGUCUGGGGCCCAGAUUAUUCUAUUUGUGACUGGGCGGGAAGAGGUAUAUAUAUAGUAAUUUUUGUAUUUUUAGUAGAGACGGGGUUUCACCAUGUUGGCCAGGCUGGUCUUGAACUCCUGACGUUAAGUGAUCCAUCUGCCUCCCAAAGUGCUGGGAUUACAGGUGUGAGCCACCACUUUGGGCCAUAGAUCGGGUGAUUGGGGGAAGACCUGAGGUAUCUGAGCAGAAAUCUGGUUGGGGAGUGAGCCAACAGUUAUCUGGAGGGAAACUGGUUCAGGCAGAGGGAAGAGCAAAUCCAAAGCUCCUAAAGCAAAAGCAUAUUUUUGGUGUAUUUGAGAAACAGCAAGAAGGUCAAUGUAGCUAAGAGCCGGAAUAAGAGAAGAGAUGCAGGCAGGGAUGAGAUUGUUUUUGGCUUCUUAGGUCAUGGUAAGAACUUGGAUUUUAUUUUUUGUGUAAUGGGCACCCAUCAGAUGGUGUUGAGGAGGGGACUGACACAAAAUCAUUUAGGUAUUAAACUGAUCCUUCCGCUGCUCCAUGGGGACCCAGAGUGGAAGUAGUAGCAGGAAACCAAUUAGGCUUUUACAAUAGUUCAGGUAAGAGAUGACAGUGACUUGGACUAGGGUGUAGUAGCUAUGGAGAUGGUUGAAAAUGGCUAGAUGUGGGAUCUAUUUUAAAGGUACCACCAACAGCAUUUGCAGACUCAAGGAUGAUUUCAAAGUUUUGGGUCUGAGCAACUAGGUGAAUGAUAACAUUGUUUACUGAGACGGGGAGGCCUUAAGUAGAAGGUUUAGGAGGGAAAAUAUAGAUUUUGCUAUGGACACAUUAUAUUCUAUACAGACAUAAUUUAAAAUAGUUACCAGGUCCAUCAAUUGAUGGAUAAACUAUGGUAUAUCCAUACAUUGGAAUAUUAUUUGUUAAUAAAAAUAAAUGGUCAGGCGCAGUACCUUAAGCCUGUAAUCCCAGCACUUCAGGAGGCUGAGGCGGGUGGAGUGCAGUGGCACGAUCUCAGCUCACUGCAACCUCUGCCUCCCAGGUUCAAGCCAUUCUCCUGCCUCAGCCUCCGGAGUAGCUGGGAUUACAGGCGCCCGCCACCACGUCCGGCUACUUUUUGUAUUUUUAGUAGAGAUGGGGUAUCACCAUAUGGGCCAGGCUGGUCUUGAACUCCUGACCUUAGGCGAUUCACCCGCCUCGGCCUCCCAAAGUGCUGGGAUUACAGGCGUGAGCCACUGCACCUGACCACUAUUCACUUUAAAUGGGUAUACUGUAUGGUAUGUGAAUUAUAAUCGCAAUGAAUCUAUUCUAAAAAUAUAGUUAUUGAAAAUAUAUAAUUAUAAAAAGCAUUAUGAAGCUAUUCCCCCCCACACCAGAAGCUAUUUUAAUAAAAGAUUUUAACCUACUAGAAAUAAAAGGAAAAUUAAGUAGUCAAGAGUUCUAAUCCUUCUCUGUUAACCACAGGAAACCUGGCUGUUUGGACUGGGUGUCUGUGUCAACAGACCACCACCAACCUGGAACAGUAUUUGCUAAUAACAAGCAAAGUAUUCCUGAGUAAUAAUAGCUUCUUGAUUGUUGGACUCCCAUAAAGCAGUCAUUAUUAAGCUUUUUAACUUUUUUUUUGUUGGGGUGGGGGUGGUGUGCGUAAAGUAUUGCAUUAUGUUUACUUUAGUAUAUAUUGCCACCAGUUUUUCCAAAUCUGAUCUUUGAGAAUCUGGUAUAAACUAUGGUUCUUCUGUCCCCCAAAUGUGCUUAAGCACAAAUACAUACAUGCAAUAUUAUACGUAUUUUAGGAUGUACAUAGAUCCCCUGAAACCAACCAAUGCAGCUCAGUUUCUAUAAAAUUAAAGCAAGGUCACAGGAAUUAACAGUGGCUUUUAUUUAUCCAGACUUCUGCUCAGCACAAUCAUAUGCUCAUAAAUAUAUGACUUGACAGUUCCAAAGACCUGCAGUAUGGCUGGUUGGGGUAUAAAUUGGUACAACAUACUUUGGAAAGCUGGUGGCAAUAUAUACUAAAGCUGUACAUAAUCCAAAACCCAUGACCUUGCAAUCCCUCUCCUAGGUAUAUAUACCCGAUUGAAAUGCAUUCUUUGCGAUGCGGGUAAAGAGGGGAUGGUUAAUGGGUACACAAAAUAUAGAAAGAAAAGUAAGAUCUAGUAUUUGCUAUCACAACAGGGUGACUAUAGUAAAAAAUAAUUGUUCAUUAAAAAAUAACUAAAAGAGAGGCCAGGUGCGGUGGCUCAUGCCUGUAAUCCCAACACUUUGGGAGGCCGAGAUGGGUGGAUUGCCUAAGGUCAGGAGUUCGAGACCAGCCUGACAAACACGGUGAAACCCUGUCUCUAUUAAAAAUACAAAAACUAGCCAGGCAUGGUGGCAGGUGCCUGUAAUCCUAGCUACUCGGGAUGCUGAGUGUGGAGAAUCGCUUGAACCUGGGAGGCAGAGGUUGCAGUAAGCCAAGGUUGCGUCAUUGCACUCCAGCCUGAGCAACAAGAGUGAAACUCCAUCUCAAACAAACAAGCAAACUAAGAGUAUAAUUGGAUUGUUGGAAACAUAAAGGAUAGAUGUUUGAGGUGAUGAAUACUGUAUUUACUCUGAUGUAAUUAUUACACAUUGCAUGCCUAUAUCAAACAUCUCAUGUAACCCAUAAAUAUAUACACCCACUAUGUAUCCACAAAAAUUAAAAAAGAGCCCGGGCAUGGUGGCUCACAUCUGUAAUCCCAGCACUUUGGGAGGCCAAGGCGGGCGGAUCACCUGGGGUCGGGAGUUCGAGACCAGCCCGACCAACACGGAGAAACCCUGUCUCUACUAAAAAAUACAAAAUUAGCCGGGCGUGGUGGCGCAUGCCUCUAAUCCCAGCUACCCGGGAGGCUGAGGCAGGAGAAUCACUGGAACCUGGGAGGCGGAGGUUGUGGUGAGCUGAGAUCGUGCCAUGGCACUCCAGCCUGGGCAAUAAGAGCAAAACUCCGUCUCAAAAAAAAAAAAAAAUUAAAAAAGAAAUGCAUUCUUAUGUUAUACCAAAACACAUAUUCAUAGUAGUUCUAUUUAUAGUUGCCCCAAACUAGGUCAAUCAAAUCUUCAAAAAAAGUAAAAUAGUUAAUUCAUGGUCACAAAACAUACAUAUUUCAUAAUUUCAUUUGUAUAAACCUCAAAAGCAAAACCAAUCUAUGGUAUUUCAAGUCAAGAUUGUGGUUACCUUUAAGGGAGAAAAUAGCAACUGGGAAAAGGUAUGAGGGGGGAUUCUAGGGUGCUGGUAACGAUCUGUUUCUUGAUUUGGGUGCUGGCUAUAUAUGUUCACUAUUCAUUUUUUAAAAAUAGACACAGAGUCUCACUAUGUUGCCCAGGCUGGUCUUAAACUCUUGGCCUCAAGCAGUCCUCCCACCUCGGCCUCCCAAAGUGCUUGGAUUACGGGAGUGAGCCACCAUUCCCAGCUAGCCACCUCAUUUAAAAUAGUAUUACUUGGCCGGGUGCAGUGGCUGACGCCUGUAAUUCCAGCACUUUGGGAGGCCGAGGCGGGUUGGGAUCAAGCCAGCCUGGCGAACAUGGUGAAACCUCAACUCUCCUAAAAUUACAAAAUUAGUAAUCGAGACCAUUCUGGGUAACAUGGUGAAAUCCCAUCUCUACUAAAAAUACAAAAAAUUAGCUGGGCAUGGUGGCGGGCGCCUGUAGUCCCAGCUACUCGGGAGGCUGAGGCAGGAGAAUGGCGUGAACCCAGGAGGCGGAGCUUGCAGUGAGCUGAGAUGGCGCCACUGCACUCCAGCCUGGGUGACAGAGUGAGACUCCGUCUCAAAAACAAAAAACAAAAAACAAAACAAACAAACAAAAAACAAAAAAAAUUAGGCUGGGCGCAGUGGCUCAUGCCUGUAAUCCCAGCACUUUGGGAGGCUGAUGUGGGCGGAUCACCUGAGGUCAGGAGUUCAAGACCAGCCUUACCAACAUGGAGAAACCCCGUCUCUACUAAAAAUACAAAAAAAAUUAGCCAGGCAUGGUGGCAUAUGCCUGUAAUCCCAGCUGUCAGGCCUCUGAGCCCAAACCAAGCCAUCGCAUCCCCUGUGACUUGCACGUAUACACCCAGAUGGCCUGAAGUAACUGAAGAUCCACAAAAGAAGUAAAAAUAGCCUUAACUGAUGACAUUCCACCAUUGAUUUGUUCCUGUCCCACCCUAACUGAUCAAUGUACUUUGUAAUCUCCCCCACCCUUAAGAAAGUUCUUUGUAAUUCUCCCCACCCUUGAGAAUGUACUUUGUGAGAUCCACCCCUGCCCGCAAAACAUUGCUCUCAACUUCACCGCCUAUCCCAAAACCUAUAAGAAUUAAUGAUAAUCCAUCUCCCUUCGCUGACUCUCUUUUCGGCACCCAGGUGAAAUAAAUACCCAUGUUGCUCACACAAAGCCUGUUUGGUGGCCUCUUCACACGGACGCACAUGAAACCAGCUACUUGGGAGGCUGAGGCAGGAGAAUUGCUUGAACCCGGGAGGCGGAGGUUGCGGUGACCCGAGAUCACGCCAUUGCACUCCUGCCUGGGCAACAAGAGCAAAAUUCCGUCUCAGGGAAAAAAAAAAAAUUAGCUGGGUGUGGUGGGGCAGGCCUGUAAUCCCAGCUACUCAGGAGGCUGAGGCAGGAGAAUCACUUGAACCUGGGAGGCGGAGGUUGCAGAGUCGAGAUCAUGCCAUUGCCCUCCAGCCUGGGCGACUGAGUGAGACUCCAUCUUAAAAAAAAAAAAAAAAAAAGUCUUUUAUUACUUUUUGAGCAUUUAAAGAGUAUUUUUUGGCCAGACGGUGUGGCUCACGCCUGUAAUCCCAGUAUUUUGGGAGGCCCAGGCGGGUGGAUCACUUGAAGCCUCCAGCCUGGCCAACAUGGCAGGAGAAUGACUGGAACCCGGGAGGUGGAUGUUGCAGUGAGCCAAGAUGGUGUCACUGCACUCCAGCCUGGGUGACAGAGAGAGACUCUGUCUCAAAGACAAAAAGAAAAUUUGUUCAGUAUUUUCUUCAAUCAGCUUUCUCAGACUGAAUGUUCACCCUUUUAAAUAUUCAUAAUGUUCCUGAGAAUCCAUUUGGCUAUUCUGUUUUCUUCACCCUUCUCCAGCCUUCCCCUCCUCAAUUCGACCCAUUUCUUCCCUACUUCCCAAAAGAAAAAAUAUCUACUUUGGAUUAAUAUAAAUCAGUUUAAUCUAACUUAUUCAAGACUUUUUUGGCCUCUACUUGGAGGUUCAAGAAAAGGUGUGUCAGGCCUCUGAGCCCAAGCUAAGCCAUCAUAUCCCCUGUGACCUGCACAUACACAUCCAGAUGGCCGGUUCCUGCCUUAACUGAUGACAUUCCACCACAAAAGAAGUGAAAAUGGCCUGUUCCUGCCUUAACUGAUGACAUUGUCUUGUGAAAUUCCUUUUCCUGGCUCAUCCUGUCUCAAAAAGCUCCCCUACUGAGCACCCUGUGACCCCCACUCUGUCCGCCAGAGAACAACACCCCUUUGACUGUAAUUUUCCUUUAUCUACCCAAAUCCUAUAAAACAGCCGCACCCUUAUCUUCCUUCGCUGACUCUCUUUUUGGACUCAGCCCGCCUGCACCCAGGUGAAAUAAACAGCCAUGUUGCUCACACAAAGCCUGUUUGGUGGUCUCUUCACACGCACGAGCAUGAAAGUGAGGUGAUACAACGAGGGGGAAAAGAAUUAUUAUUAUUAUUAUUAAGGCUAACCUACAAAUAUUUUGAGGUAUUUUAUGGGUUUAAAUAUCCAUAAAUC
rnacentral:lncRNA from 1 species